rnacentral:rRNA from 1 species
UACGAAGGGGGCUAGCGUUGCUCGGAAUCACUGGGCGUAAAGGGUGCGUAGGCGGGUUUUUAAGUCAGAGGUGAAAUCCUGGAGCUCAACUCCAGAACUGCCUUUGAUACUGAAAGUCUUGAGUAUGGGAGAGGUAAGUGGAACUGCGAGUGUAGAGGUGAAAUUCGUAGAUAUUCGCAAGAACACCAGUGGCGAAGGCGGCUCACUGGCCCAUUACUGACGCUGAGGCACGAAAGCGUGGGGAGCAAACAGGG